UGAGCUCACUCAUCUUCACUUUGGUGGUC
rnacentral:piRNA from 1 species